CGAGUGGCGGACGGGUGAGUAAUGUCUGGGAAACUGCCUGAUGGAGGGGGAUAACUACUGGAAACGGUGGCUAAUACCGCAUAACGUCGCAAGACCAAAGAGGGGGACCUUCGGGCCUCUUGCCAUCAGAUGUGCCCAGAUGGGAUUAGCUUGUUGGUGAGGUAACGGCUCACCAAGGCGACGAUCCCUAGCUGGUCUGAGAGGAUGACCAGCCACACUGGAACUGAGACACGGUCCAGACUCCUACGGGAGGCAGCAGUGGGGAAUAUUGCACAAUGGGCGCAAGCCUGAUGCAGCCAUGCCGCGUGUAUGAAGAAGGCCUUCGGGUUGUAAAGUACUUUCAGCGGGGAGGAAGGUGUUGUGGUUAAUAACCGCAGCAAUUGACGUUACCCGCAGAAGAAGCACCGGCUAACUCCGUGCCAGCAGCCGCGGUAAUACGGAGGGUGCAAGCGUUAAUCGGAAUUACUGGGCGUAAAGCGCACGCAGGCGGUCUGUCAAGUCGGAUGUGAAAUCCCCGGGCUCAACCUGGGAACUGCAUUCGAAACUGGCAGGCUUGAGUCUUGUAGAGGGGGGUAGAAUUCCAGGUGUAGCGGUGAAAUGCGUAGAGAUCUGGAGGAAUACCGGUGGCGAAGGCGGCCCCCUGGACAAAGACUGACGCUCAGGUGCGAAAGCGUGGGGAGCAAACAGGAUUAGAUACCCUGGUAGUCCACGCCGUAAACGAUGUCUACUUGGAGGCUGUGCCCUUGAGGCGUGGCUUCCGGAGCUAACGCGUUAAGUAGACCGCCUGGGGAGUACGGCCGCAAGGUUAAAACUCAAAUGAAUUGACGGGGGCCCGCACAAGCGGUGGAGCAUGUGGUUUAAUUCGAUGCAACGCGAAGAACCUUACCUGGUCUUGACAUCCACAGAAGUUUGCAGAGAUGCGAAUGUGCCUUCGGGAACUGUGAGACAGGUGCUGCAUGGCUGUCGUCAGCUCGUGUUGUGAAAUGUUGGGUUAAGUCCCGCAACGAGCGCAACCCUUAUCCUUUGUUGCCAGCGGUUAGG
rnacentral:rRNA from 2 species